CUGACCAAGAACCGACUCCAAAGAAUUUUUAACCUGCAACUAUAACACCUUCUGUUCCUUGAGUCCUUCUACUACAAGCUUCCAAGAAACUUGGGCCCCUGCCCACCCUGCACUAACCUGCUGAAACAUACCCUCCUGAACUCUCUGACCAAGAACCGACUCCAAAGAAUUUUUAACCUGCAACUAUAACACCUUCUGUUCCUUGAGUCCUUCUACUACAAGCUUCCAAGAAACUUGGGCCCCUGCCCACCCUGCACUAACCUGCUGAAACAUACCCUCCUGAACUCUCUGACCAAGAACCGACUCCAAAGAAUUUUUAACCUGCAACUAUAACACCUUCUGUUCCUUGAGUCCUUCUACUACAAGCUUCCAAGAAACUUGGGCCCCUGCCCACCCUGCACUAACCUGCUGAAACAUACCCUCCUGAACUCUCUGACCAAGAACCGACUCCAAAGAAUU